UAUAUUCUAGUUUUAUUAUUUCGACCAAUACGGUUUUGUAAUAAUACAGUGACUUUUAAGUUUAUGGUCAGGUACAUUACUGGGUAGUGUUACUGUGCCUAUUACUUUGACUACUGGGGAAAAGGAACAAUGGUAACCGUAUCAUCUGGCAUACAAACGAAGCCCACCGUGUUUCCGCUUCAGUCAUGCGCGUCUGACACCAGCGGAGGCCUGGUGGACAUCGGCUGUCUGGCCACCGGAUACGUGCCAUCGCGCUCCGUAACUUUUACAUGGCGCGACAAAGGGAAGGGAAGCGACAUUUCUGACUUCGUUCAGUACCCCGAGGUCCAGCGCAAUGGCGCCUACUCUGUUUUCACUCAAAUUAAGGUGAAAGCCGAAGAUUGGGAAAAAAGCAACACCUACACCUGCAAUGCAAAUCAAGGGCAGACCGCUGAAUCAACAGAUGUAACUCGAAUGGUUGUAAAAACUGUGAAUCCCACUCUGUACGUAAUGACUCCGUCCCAAGAGGAGCUCACCGAGAAGAAGUCGGCCAGCUUCGCUUGUCUAGCCAAAGGCUUUUCUCCCAAGACGCACAAGUUGAAGUGGUACUUGGGGUCAAAGGAAGUAACUGAGAAUGUCACUAGCUUACCUGAGGUUAAAGACAAUGGCGACUCAUUGUUCAGUGCGUCCAGCUUUUUGUCACUUCCCGAGAAGCAGUGGAAGAGCGAUGAAGCACGUGUCACGUGUGUUUUUGAGCGCAAACCCGGCUCGAUUGUGCAGGAGUCCGUUUCAUUUCGCCCACCUGACUGCAUAGAGGACCCCAUCACUGUAAACAUUUUUCCUCCAACACCUGAGAAAUUUUUCCUCAAUGAAGAAAUCUUACUUGGCUGUAAAGUCACCGGCGACUUGAGCAAUUUAGGAGCCAUUGAAUGGGAGAAUGCAGAUGGCUCCAAACUUGUGGCAAUGAAGGAAGUUAAGGAAAAUGGGAAUUCUAGAGUCUCCUGGCUUUCCAUCAGCUACGAGGAGUGGAGCAAUGGCACAGAAUUUGUGUGCAUCGUAACGCACAGUGACUUGCCUUUACCAAAGAGAGAGACCUACCAAAGAGAAAACGGACGAGCGGCCAAAGCUCCCUCCGUCUUUAUUCUGGGGCCAGCGGAGCAGGCCAAGCAGGUGACCCUGACUUGCUAUGCCAAAGACUUCUACCCCAAGGAAGUGCUGAUCUCUUGGCUUGCCAGCGAUGAACCCUUGGAUAGGAGUCGGUUCAGCACAACUAGUUUGAUUCAGACAGGCGACACCUACUCAGUGUACAGCCAGCUGACAAUAGAGAAGGAUGAAUGGGAUGAAGGCAAGGGCUAUAGCUGUGCAGUCCACCAUGAAACUAACAGCAAAGAAAUCAAAGCCAUAGUCAGAGCAAUUGACAGCCUCACAAAGAAAUCCUCUUCUGUCAACCUAAGCCUGUCCAUUCCUCAAACCUGCAAGGCUGCCUAACUAUUGUUUGUGUUUUGUUGUCUUUUUGUGGUGCCUCUGUAACUGUGAUGUAGAAGAAAUCCACUUGUCUGUCUGUCAACCUGUCUGAUGUUUGUUUUUAACAUGAAAAUGCAAAAUGAAAAAUGGCAAUAAAAAAUCAGUAAAUAAA